CGCGGCCUAUCAGCUUGUUGGUGGGGUAAUGGCCUACCAAGGCGACGACGGGUAGCCGGCCUGAGAGGGUGACCGGCCACACUGGGACUGAGACACGGCCCAGACUCCUACGGGAGGCAGCAGUGGGGAAUAUUGCACAAUGGGCGCAAGCCUGAUGCAGCGACGCCGCGUGAGGGAUGACGGCCUUCGGGUUGUAAACCUCUUUCAGUAGGGAAGAAGCGUAAGUGACGGUACCUGCAGAAGAAGCGCCGGCUAACUACGUGCCAGCAGCCGCGGUAAUACGUAGGGCGCAAGCGUUAUCCGGAAUUAUUGGGCGUAAAGAGCUCGUAGGCGGUUUGUCGCGUCUGCUGUGAAAGACCGGGGCUCAACUCCGGUUCUGCAGUGGGUACGGGCAGACUGGAGUGCAGUAGGGGAGACUGGAAUUCCUGGUGUAGCGGUGAAAUGCGCAGAUAUCAGGAGGAACACCGAUGGCGAAGGCAGGUCUCUGGGCUGUAACUGACGCUGAGGAGCGAAAGCAUGGGGAGCGAACAGGAUUAGAUACCCUGGUAGUCCAUGCCGUAAACGUUGGGCACUAGGUGUGGGGGACAUUCCACGUUUUCCGCGCCGUAGCUAACGCAUUAAGUGCCCCGCCUGGGGAGUACGG
rnacentral:rRNA from 1 species